AAUCUGUAGUAAAACUGCACACAGAGAACCGCUUGCUGUGCUCGGGGGGAGACUCACCGUCGGCCUUUUCCCAAAGCAGAGGUGAUGUGUCCUGGUCCACUAAUGUCAACGUCGCAGCAACCAUCGUAGGACUGUCAAACACACUAACACACAACCUUUUCCAGCUAACCCUAACACAACACAACAGUACAGCGGCGUCCAGGAAAGGAACUGGAACACAUUUGGGACAGUGCAGAGGGCAUGCACCAAAAGGCUUUGUCAGCGUGCAAGAGCGAGUGUGUGCCGUCUGAUCACAAGGAGCAGUUGUCUUGUGCGUCUGCUGGACGGUUCUUCAUGACUCACACCCCGUGAAGAAGAGAGUCGAAGAUGGAGCUUAUGCAGAAGCUGAUGAACAAAAAGAGACAGCGGCUGUGUGUUGUUUUGACUGAAGGAGGGGAAGGCUGACAAUGAGUUUGUCCAGCGAGAUUUCUCUCUGUGUUAUUUAUUCGCACAGAUCAAUCUUAUUUUUUAUACAUGUGUGCACAUAUUGAGUAAACAGACUAAACUUCAAAGGCACUUUGUUUCAUUUUGUGCAGAUGUACAAAUUUCAGUGAAGCACAAGUAAA